GCGGGCAUCGUAUAAUGGCUAUUACCUCAGCCUUCCAAGCUGAUGAUGCGGGUUCGAUUCCCGCUGCCCGCUCCA
rnacentral:tRNA from 7624 species